GGCUAACGGGGUAGUAAGGCAUCGGAACGUACCUUUUCGUCUGGGAUAGCCAUGGGAAACUGUGAGUAAUACCGGAUAAUAUCUUCGGAUCAAAGGUUUACUGCGAUUAGAGCGGCCGAUGUGAGACUAGGUAGUUGGUAGGGUAAUGGCCUACCAAGCCAGAGAUCUCUAGGGGGUGUGAGAGCAUGACCCCCACCACUGGAACUGAGACACUGUCCAGACGCCUACGGGUGGCUGCAGUCGAGAAUCUUCGGCAAUGGGCGAAAGCCUGACCGAGCGACGCUGCGUGCGGGAUGAAGGCCCUUGGGUUGUAAACCGCUGUCAGAGGGGAUCAAAGGAAACUUGAGAGAGCCUCAGAGGAAGCGCGGGCUAAGUUCGUGCCAGCAGCCGCGGUAAUACGAACUGCGCAAACGUUACUCGGAAUCACUGGGCUUACAGGGUGCGUAGGCGGUUCGCCAGGUCAGAUGUGAAAUCCCACAGCUCAACUGUGGAACUGCAUUUGAAACCUGCGAACUUGAGUAGACUAGAGGUACACGGAACUUCAGGUGGAGCGGUGAAAUGUGUUGAGAUCUGAAGGAACACCAGAGGCGAAAGCGGAGUACUGGAGUCUGUCUGACGCUGAGGCACGAAAGCUAGGGGAGCGAACGGGAUUAGAUACCCCGGUAGUCCUAGCCGUAAA
rnacentral:rRNA from 1 species